rnacentral:rRNA from 1 species
GGCAGUCUUAGCGUGAGGACAUUAAGGUAGCAAAAUAAUUUGUGCUUUUAUUGGGUCCCAGUAUGAAUGAAGUUAUUGGUUAGUUCUUUUUAUAUUUUUUUACUGAAAUUAGUAUUUAUUUAAGAAAAAAUAAAUGUAUUUAAACAAAGAUAAGUCUUUGGAAAUUCAGUUGUUAAUUAUUCUUUUGUUUAAUUAAUAAAUUUUCUAGGGCAGAAUAUUACAUAAUUUUUACUUGUUUACUAUUAAUAAGUUAAUGAAUUACUCCAGAGUUAACAGAAAAUCAUACCUGAUCUAGUUCUUAUAGUAAGGUAAGUUUUACAUCGAUGUUGUAUUCAGAUAAUCUAAGGGAGGAGAAGACUUAGUGUUUUAGACUGUUCUUCUAUUAAUUAAUCUGACGUGAUAUUAGUUUAAUUCAUCGUGAGGUAGAAUUGUUUAUCUUGUUAAAUACUCAAAUUUAAGAUAUUUAGUACGAAAGGAACGUUAUAGAAAUUUUAAAUUUUUUUAAAGUUUUGUCUU